AAGCGCUGUAAGCUGGAGCGCUACGCGGACUAGACUAUCAAAUUUCACCGUGUUUACAAACCUGCCAUCCUGGCAUCUCUGAUUGGCCCACAGCACCACUAAGGCCUCUGUGAUUAGCUCAAAACGCCAGCGCGGCAAACGUUUCUUUUUUUUUUUAUUCCAGCGCGCGCGUUGACGUUCUAGCUCCGAUGUGUUGCCGAGAGAAGAAACCGUGGAAGCAGCACGGUUACCCCUCCCGAAGCCAUCGGAAACCCUGGCGCCGACGUUGGUGUGUGAGAGCGAAACGAAAUGUCCCGGGCUCGACUCGACGACACCGGCGUGCGGCGAACGUCAGCAUUCUGGAGCGGCUCGUUUGCACAGCGGCGGCGGCGGCGACGACGCCUUGUUUGCCGAUCCCAUCAGCCGUGUGCCGCACGUAAUAGCGGCAUAACCCUUACGGGCACCCAUUACAUAAAUUGGAUGCGUCGGAGAGCGUUCACGCCGAAGAGAAUCGAUGUGACAGAGUUGCUCAAGAACGCCCGUGUCAACGAGAGUCGUCACGACACUGUGGACUCGCGUGCAAAAUCCUGCGCCUGAUGGUGUGUCCUGCGAACUCAUUCUUACUUACUCGUUCUUACUCAGUAUUGCUUGUUUGAGCGCUCGACAUCUGUGACCGAAUGACGGAAAAGCGAGUGGAAUCCCAUCUUUGUGAGAAAAUAGUAGCCCUUCUUUUGACUCGAUUCAUUUCUUGAAUGACCAUUAAAUAACCAGUCUGCUGCGCA